rnacentral:lncRNA from 1 species
GAUUCAUUUCCUUGUUGUGGUUUCUAUCAUAUAUUUACAGUAAUUCUGCUAAUUCAUCUCAGAUUUUUAAUUGGAUUUGUGUUGCCUUCACAGAGGAGAUAAUGAUGGUCUCUCGGAUGGAGCUAUCGCAGGAAUCGUCAUCGGCUGCCUUUUAGCCCUAGCACUCGCCAUUGGCCUGUUCUUUUACUGCCGAGGGAAAGUACCCAGAGAGGGGUACAAUGUAGGAAAGCGAGGAACACAGGAGCCAAUUGAGUCACCGUACUGACAUCCCCGCAUACUGCUUGGCCAAAACA